rnacentral:tRNA from 3 species
CGGGAUGUAGCGCAGUCUGGGAGCGCACUUGAAUGGGGUUCAAGGGGUCGCUAGUUCAAAUCUAGUCAUCCCGACCA